CCCCCCCCCCAAAGCACGAAUGGAACUCAUUGUCGACAUGUUAGAUAGCAGACGCUUAAAUGCUGCGAAAAUCUCGUUGAAAAUCUUGACUUCCUGUGCCUUUGGAAAAGAAAUAUUGCGUAUUUAAUUUCACUCUAAGGGCGGACAUUUUUUUUUCUUAAAUGGGAAAAAUACUCUUGAUAGAAUAGAAGAUGGAGUGGUCUAGAUGUUGGGAGUGAUGCAUUAAACGCAAAUCUUAUUUACAGAUUCCAGAAUGAUACACUAUUUAUUAUAAGAGGUUUUGUUGCGCAGUUAGCCUAAGAGAUUCAUUAUACAGUACAUAAAGUUGAACACAGCCGAGGAGUAGUGAACAAAUUGAGGAGAAGUGCAUUGUCCAGUUAAACCAGGACAAUAAACCCAGGUUUUACACACGCCAGUUAACAAACACACUGUAAGUAUAUAUUAUAUAUUAUUAUAUAGUAUAUUGUUUCAAUAUCACAAAAAAAAAUGGGAAGAACACUCUUUCGGUGGAAAGUGAUUCUAAGUAAUUUAGUUCAAGGAAAAUAUUAUCACAAUCAAUUUGUCAAGUCUCUCAGAAAUUGUCACAGAUCAAACGUUGACUUUAGAUGGACAAAUAAAGAGAUUCUGAGAGCUACACAUGGCAUGAAUCAGACUUUGUCAGCGAGUCUAUACAGAAUGGAAGUUUUCAAUAGUGUGUUAAGAUGAAAUAAAUGCUACUCUCUUAUUGGACCACAAACCACGAUAGAAAGAACGCAACUUAGGUCUUCCCGCACUAUAUGUUGUUUUAGGACUUUGUUCAUAACAGAAAGAUCAAAUUUUAAAGAAGAGAAACAUUAACCUUAAACACAUAUCGCUUCGAACUUCUCAUUGUACUUUACCAAAUGACUCUCUAGACAAAAAUGUCCUUUAUGCUAAUUAAAUAAUUUAAAAAGAAUUGAAAAAAAAGUUUCAAUUAAAAAACAUUUGAAUGUUUCCAAUACCAAAGUCUGUCAUGGGUCAUGUACUGAUGUGGAUGUAGUCUGUC